rnacentral:rRNA from 1 species
GAUGAACGCUGGCGGCGUGCCUAAUACAUGCAAGUAGAACGCUGAAGGAAGGAGCUUGCUCUUUCCGGAUGAGUUGCGAACGGGUGAGUAACGCGUAGGUAACCUGCCUGGUAGCGGGGGAUAACUAUUGGAAACGAUAGCUAAUACCGCAUAACAGUAGAUGUUGCAUGAUAUCUACUUAAAAGGUGCAAUUGCACCACUACCAGAUGGACCUGCGUUGUAUUAGCUAGUUGGCGAGGUAACGGCUCACCAAGGCGACGAUACAUAGCCGACCUGAGAGGGUGAUCGGCCACACUGGGACUGAGACACGGCCCAGACUCCUACGGGAGGCAGCAGUAGGGAAUCUUCGGCAAUAGACGGAAGUCUGACCGAGCAACGCCGCGUGAGUGAAGAAGGUUGUCGAAUCGUAAAGCUCUGUUGUAAGAGAAGAACGAGUGUGAGAGUGGAAAGUUCACACUGUGACGGUAGCUUAACAGAAAGGGACGGCUAACUACGUG